AACGACUCUCGGCAACGGAUAUCUCGGCUCUCGCAUCGAUGAAGAACGC
rnacentral:rRNA from 3 species